rnacentral:rRNA from 1 species
CAGUCGCCGCGGUAAUACGAAGGGUGCAAGCGUUAAUCGGAAUUACUGGGCGUAAAGCGCACGCAGGCGGUUUGUUAGGUCAGAUGUGAAAUCCCCGAGCUUAACUUGGGAACUGCAUUUGAAACUGGCAAGCUAGAGUCUUGUAGAGGGGGGUAGAAUUCCAGGUGUAGCGGUGAAAUGCGUAGAGAUCUGGAGGAAUACCGGUGGCGAAGGCGGCCCCCUGGACAAAGACUGACGCUCAGGUGCGAAAGCGUGGGGAGCAAACAGGAUUAGAUACCCCGGUAGUCCCUGUCUCUUAUAC